CAAAGUCAGAAGUUUAUUGAUUUAUUGAAUAAAUAUUUCGUCCAAUUUGGACUACAACAAAAGAAUUGGCUAAAAUGCCAAAAGAAAAAAAAACAAGUUCAGACAUAACAAAAUGAAAAAAAAAAUUAUAUAAUAAAGAGAACUCAGAGCUUUCAAGAAGGAAUUAAUGGAAGAAACUCCUCCACCAAACUAUUCGAUGCUGCAAUAAUCAGCUCAGGAGUAGUGUCUUGUUGUUCGAAGAUCUUCAGAUUUCGUGCCAAUCAAAUCUUCCACAACGUUAUUGCUAUGAGGCUUUUGUGACGGUAGCCUCCUCUUGCCCUCAUCACUACUUCUGUCUAACAAUCCCAAACUUCUAAGAAGAUGCCAGGUUCCAUUUGGCAUCUAGGGCAUGUACUAUCAAAAUUGGGGAUUCUCGUCUGAAUUCGAAGA